AGUACAGAUGCUUCUCAACUUACAAUGAGGUUAUACCCUUAUAAACACAUGGUAGCAAGAAUACAGCUGUGAGAAGAUGCAUUGUGCCAAGAUGAAUUUAGUGAGUUUGGAAGAGGACCCUGAGCCUGAAAUGAGAAUUGCAACCCUGGCUGACACCUCCAUUUCAGUCUGACAUGACCUUAACAGAGGACCCAGAUAACCUGUACUACACACCUGACCUAUGAAAACUGCUGUAGGUAUACCACAAAGUGAUGGCAUCCACGGCCGUAUGGAUUGGCUGCUGAGAAGACACCACUGCAGUGGGGGAGGCACAACCUGGGCUGUGCACUCUGCGGAGCCCACAGGAGCUGGAAACAGAAACACUACUUGCUGCUGCUAGGUCAGAAACAGAAAACUGGUAUGUCUCAUCUACCUUAUCAAAUCGAAGAACAGUGGGACGAUUUUGGUUGUAGAUUGUACUCUGUAUUAACUAUCCAAAUAAGACAUUUCCUUGGGUUGUCAU
rnacentral:lncRNA from 1 species